CUGGGGAGUGGACGAUCCAACAACAAACACAUAGAUGUUCAGCGUCUUGAGGAUAACUGUGGACCCUACGGUGGAGUUCUGUUCUGGGCUGUUACUGGAGUGUCUCUCACUGUGAACAUCGUCCUCACACUCUGCAUGGUGUUUCUUUGGAAACAAAGAGAGAGCAUGAAGCCAAAAGAAGA